rnacentral:rRNA from 1 species
AGAGUUUGAUCCUGGCUCAGAUUGAACGCUGGCGGCAUGCUUUACACAUGCAAGUCGAACGGCAGCAUAGAGAGCUUGCUCUCUCCGGAUGGCGAGUGGCGAACGGGUGAGUAAUACAUCGGAACGUGUCCGUUUGUGGGGGACAACCACCCGAAAGGGUGGCUAAUACCGCAUAAGACCUGAGGGUGAAAGCCGGGGACCGCAAGGCCUGGCGCGAACGGAGCGGCCGAUGACUGAUUAGCUGGUUGGCGGGGUAAAGGCCCACCAAGGCGACGAUCAGUAGCUGGUCUGAGAGGACGACCAGCCACACUGGAACUGAGACACGGUCCAGACUCCUACGGGAGGCAGCAGUGGGGAAUUUUGGACAAUGGGGGCAACCCUGAUCCAGCCAUGCCGCGUGCGGGAAGAAGGCCUUCGGGUUGUAAACCGCUUUUGUCAGGGACGAAAAGGUGCGGGUUAAGAGCUAGCACUGAUGACGGUACCUGAAGAAUAAGCACCGGCUAACUACGUGCCAGCAGCCGCGGUAAUACGUAGGGUGCGAGCGUUAAUCGGAAUUACUGGGCGUAAAGCGUGCGCAGGCGGUUGGGUAAGACAGAUGUGAAAUCCCCGGGCUUAACCUGGGAACUGCAUUUGUGACUGUCCGACUGGAGUAUGUCAGAGGGGGGUGGAAUUCCAAGUGUAGCAGUGAAAUGCGUAGAUAUUUGGAAGAACACCGAUGGCGAAGGCAGCCCCCUGGGGCAAAACUGACGCUCAUGCACGAAAGCGUGGGGAGCAAACAGGAUUAGAUACCCUGGUAGUCCACGCCCUAAACGAUGUCUACUGGUUGUUGGAGGGUAAAACCUUCAGUAACGAAGCUAACGCGUGAAGUAGACCGCCUGGGGAGUACGGUCGCAAGAUUAAAACUCAAAGGAA